GGCUUCAACAACCCCGUAGGUUGGGCCGCAAGGCAGCGAAUCUACUGGAGCC
rnacentral:sRNA from 21 species